rnacentral:rRNA from 1 species
GAAGGUAAUAAUCCUGUAGUCGAAAAUGUUGUCUCUCUUGAGUGGAUCCUGAGUACGACGGAGCACGUGAAAUUCCGUCGGAAUCUGGGAGGACCAUCUCCUAAGGCUAAAUACUCUCUAGUGACCGAUAGUGAACCAGUACCGUGAGGGAAAGGUGAAAAGCACCCCGGAAGGGGAGUGAAAUAGAACCUGAAACCGUGUGCUUACAAGUAGUCAGAGCCCGUUAAUGGGUGAUGGCGUGCCUUUUGUAGAAUGAACCGGCGAGUUACGAUUUGAUGCAAGGUUAAGCAGUAAAUGUGGAGCCGUAGCGAAAGCGAGUCUGAAUAGGGCGUUUAGUAUUUGGUCGUAGACCCGAAACCAGGUGAUCUACCCUUGGUCAGGUUGAAGUUCAGGUAACACUGAAUGGAGGACCGAACCGACUUACGUUGAAAAGUGAGCGGAUGAACUGAGGGUAGCGGAGAAAUUCCAAUCGAACCUGGAGAUAGCUGGUUCUCUCCGAAAUAGCUUUAGGGCUAGCCUCAAGUGAUGAUUAUUGGAGGUAGAGCACUGUUUGGACGAGGGGCCCCUCUCGGGUUACCGAAUUCAGACAAACUCCGAAUGCCAAUUAAUUUAACUUGGGAGUCAGAACAUGGGUGAUAAGGUCCGUGUUCGAAAGGGAAACAGCCCAGACCACCAGCUAAGGUCCCAAAAUAUAUGUUAAGUGGAAAAGGAUGUGGCGUUGCCCAGACAACUAGGAUGUUGGCUUAGAAGCAGCCAUCAUUUAAAGAGUGCGUAAUAGCUCACUAGUCGAGUGACACUGCGCCGAAAAUGUACCGGGGCUAAACAUAUUACCGAAGCUGUGGAUUGUCCUUUGGACAAUGGUAGGAGAGCGUUCUAAGG